CGAGCAGAAUCGCCAACAGUUCCCAACGGAGCGACCUUGAUGCGGCCCAAUUCACUUCGAUCGCAGCGCCGCCGCAGUAUUUUUCGUCGUCGCGCGCCUCACUGCAAAGCAUGCGCCGCCCCAGCCGCUCGUCCCACUCAACCAUAUUCUAGUACACUCUAGUUAAAAUCUUUCUUCUAUCCUCUGUCUUGCAGUGGAAAAAAAAAGUUACGUGGCGUUUGCUUAGCAAUGGCGAAGACUGCCGUCAGGACUCCCGAGGAAGAAGCCGCUCGACAGGAGCGCCGCCGAGAAGCUGCUCGUCAGCGGAUGCGGCGACAGAGAUCCGAUCCUGAAGCGAGAGCUAGGGAAGUUGAAGCAAGGCGUCGCAAGAGGGGAGAAGACUCUGAAACUCGCGAACGCGGCCGAUUGAAUUCUGCGAGAUACUACGCAGAACACCGUGAAGAAGUUCUGAGCGAUAGCAAACGGAAGAGGCUGGACGAUCCUGGGUUGCGUGUGCUCAGGAACUUUCGCCAGAUGCAACGACUCGGGACUGACGGUGCUGGUGGGCUAUUUAAACGAAUGCAGGCUUCUUGUUUGCUGUCCGACAUCGGUACACAAACAGACCGUUCGUGGUGCAGAUACGGAAGAGUGAGGAAAUGUCACCAGGGCUAUGUGAUGGAUCCCUGCGCCUCAUGAUCCUAAAUGAUGGCUUUACAUCUCGGAGUACUGCGGACGACCUUGAACUGCCUAAUUCUUGCCAUGGGAAAAGGUGAUGGCUGGCUGGCCUGUCAUUCACCUGACGGUUCGCCCCAGCAGAUUCAGUGAGGCUGUUUCCACUCAACUUAGUUGGUCGGAAUCGAAUCCUCGAUCUUCCAGCUGCGCUAGGCAUGGCUGCAAGAGCGAGACCAGAAAAGAUCUCUGCAGGACAGCAUAAGGUGUCAUUCGUGCCUGCUUUACGGUCGUGGGGGAGAGUACCAUCUGAGUGGCGCCUCAUGGCGGAAGUCAAAGGAACACUGGCAGACACAGGGACGGGGAGCGCCCGCUGCUACUCCAGCAGAACGGCAGCAUGACAAGCUCAGACACAUGUGUGACGACUGGCAGGCAGGUGAGACAGCACCGACUGAAGCAUUUCCAAAACACCUAUCACCUUAAUGCAGGGGGUUCACUAUGUCCACCAAGCCGUUCCACGCUGUGCAACAGUCACUGUGCCAAAGAAACGAAAAUGCGAAUGUCUCUGCAUCAGGUGAAAGGCAGCUUCAGAGGUGCAAGUUACUUCACGUGCUGGCCAGCUGUAGGACAGCCAGGGAUGGCCAAAAAAAGAA
rnacentral:misc_RNA from 1 species